AGAGUUUGAUCCUGGCUCAGGAUGAACGCUAGCGGGAGGCUUAACACAUGCAAGUCGUGGGGCAGCACGGGGUAGCAAUACUUUGGUGGCGACCGGCGCACGGGUGAGUAACGCGUAUGCAACCUACCCUGUACAGGGGGAUAGCCCGGAGAAAUUCGGAUUAAUACCCCAUAAAGAUAUCGAGAGGCAUCUUUUGAUAUUUAAAGUUUCGACGGUACGGGAUGGGCAUGCGUAACAUUAGCUAGUUGGUAGGGUAACGGCCUACCAAGGCGACGAUGUUUAGGGGUCCUGAGAGGGUGAUCCCCCACACUGGUACUGAGACACGGACCAGACUCCUACGGGAGGCAGCAGUGAGGAAUAUUGGUCAAUGGGCGUAAGCCUGAACCAGCCAUCCCGCGUGAAGGAAGACGGCGCUAUGCGUUGUAAACUUCUUUUCCAGAGGAAUAAAAUUUUGUACGAGUACGGAACUGAAGGUACUCUGGGAAUAAGCAUCGGCUAACUCCGUGCCAGCAGCCGCGGUAAUACGGAGGAUGCGAGCGUUAUCCGGAUUUAUUGGGUUUAAAGGGUGCGUAGGCGGAUUAAUAAGUCAGUGGUGAAAACCUUCAGCUUAACUGGAGAACUGCCAUUGAUACUGUUAGUCUUGAGUACGGUCAAGGUAGGCGGAAUGUGUAAUGUAGCGGUGAAAUGCUUAGAGAUUACAUGGAACACCAAUUGCGAAGCAGGUUACUACUAAUGGAUUGACACUGAUGCACGAAAGCGUGGGGAUCAAACAGGAUUAGAUACCCUGGUAGUC
rnacentral:rRNA from 1 species